CCUACGGGAGGCAGCAGUAGGGAAUCUUCCACAAUGGGCGAAAGCCUGAUGGAGCAACGCCGCGUGGGUGAAGAAGGUCUUCGGAUCGUAAAACCCUGUUGUUAGAGAAGAAAGUGCGUGAGAGUAACUGUUCACGUUUCGACGGUAUCUAACCAGAAAGCCACGGCUAACUACGUGCCAGCAGCCGCGGUAAUACGUAGGUGGCAAGCGUUAUCCGGAUUUAUUGGGGGUAAAGGGAACGCAGGCGGUCUUUUAAGUCUGAUGUGAAAGCCUUCGGCUUAACCGGAGUAGUGCAUUGGUUACUGGGAGACGUGAGUGCAGAAGAGGAGAGUGGAACUCCAUGUGUAGCGGUGAAAUGCGUAGAUAUAUGGAAGAACACCAGUGGCGAAAGCGGCUCUCUGGUCUGUAACUGACGCUGAGGUUCGAAAGCGUGGGUAGCAAACAGGAUUAGAUACCCUAGUAGUC
rnacentral:rRNA from 1 species